UAAAAUAAAGAAAACCAUGUUCAUCCAUCCUAUUGCAGAGUGAACAACAGCAUUCUGCAACUCAGCAAGAAGACCGAGGCGUUACAACUCUCUCUGCCGAAACAUUACAUAGAGACUGAUUAUGAACACAAGCAACACUACCGUCAUAUGAAGAAUCACUCACAGCGAAAAUGGAGUGACAUACUUGUCCUCAAGCCAGCUUCCCACAAAGCAAAUACAGGAUGUAGUGCAAAAUACAAUGUUCCGUCGCGGCUCUCGGUUCCUCAAUUACAGUAUCUCAGGGAAAAAUAAGGUUCCUACACAUUUUGUAGUGAUAAAAGAAUUGUUGGGAGAGUAAUAUCACCAUUUAUUAAAAUUCUCCCUGCAAGGAAAGCAGAGUCUGGCUCCUAAGAUCGACUAAGUACCCUUCUCCAUAAUGGAACAUGCAGUAGCUGAAAGAACCACCUCAAGAUGAUUGGUCUCCUUGCAGACCAUGCUUCUCCUCGAGAUGGAUGCUUCAUCUGAUUGUUCAAUCCAUUUUCCUUGAUGCUUCGUCUGAUUGUUCCCUAUUUGUUUCUUCCCUUCCUUAUUUCCCUGUUAAGGGAACUCAAUUCUUAAACUUAUUUCUCGCUGUUGGCUUAUUGAUGAUUCUGAAGACUGCUUGUUGACACCUAGGAAAUUCAAAGGCAUAAAGAAAUUGAGAGGAUUGGGUGUAAAGGGGCGAGGUGGGACUAUUUAAUAGAAGGAGCAACCAUCUUUUCCACAAAAAACACUGGGCUAGCUCAGUUGGUUGUGGCAAUAGGUAUGUGACACGGAGAUGGCUUCGUUGGGCGGGUGUUUUUUCCCAAGAAAAUUGAGCGAGGGAGGGUAGGUGAACAGAUCAAAAAUACCAUCAAGUCAAGUUGGUCCUUGCUGCAGCUAGUUGCACCAAGAGUUGCUCUAUUACAUGUACUGAUGCGGGGUAAAAGGAUUUAGAUUAUCUAAUGUUAUUGUCUAAAACCAAGAAGGAAUAAUAAAAAUAAUAUUUGAUCAAGGAUGAUGCAACUCCUUCAGCAAAUUUCCGUGAAGUUCUGCUACCUGGUAUAACAUGUUUACUAUUUGUAUUAUCACAGCUAACCACUAAUGCACACCUUCAGCCAAAUAACUACAGAGAUGUACAGUGGAACCAUUCAGUACCUGUGACCACGGCGGCGAUCUUUUUUUGCUGGAACUGUUCUUUUUUUUGCUGGGGCCGGCCAACUUUUUUGAUGGAAACAUAAAUUUGUUCUGUUGGCGGAAAAUAUAAAUAGAGCAUUAACUAACAGCAAGGCUAUUGGAUUUUGAAACCACAAUAGUGAAAUAAAUAGGUAGAAAUUCAGAAGAACUACUGCUAUUUAGAACUGUAGUUGUUUAAGUCUGAUAUUAAAAAGACUAGUGUCUAAGAGUCAAACUACCUAACUGUGGUAUUAAACACGGCAAUCAAAUGUUAAAAAGAUCAGCUUUGUGGUACGUCGCAACUUGCAAGCUAGCACACUGAAAAACUGAAUAUAUUCUGAAAUCUGCAUCCACGGGAAGAUAAAAGUAACUGUUAUACCUUAAUAGUAACUGUUAAGAGAAGGAACAAAUCUCGCUGGGAGACACCAGAUACCAUCACAACUUUGAACCUGCCACAAGGGAUAUUUCCCACGACGUGCCUCUUAAGACCAAAUUCAGCAAUCAACACCUCGUCAAUUUGCUCUACGAAGUUCAGGCAACCAUCAUUAGGCACAAAGUCAGCAAUCUUCUCCCCGUUCUUCAUCAGGUGGUGGACACAAACACACUUAAGGAUGACCGAGCUAGGUUGCUUGGCCUCAAUAGUGGAUACCACACCCGGGUAGCGUGUUGGUCAAGUACUUGCAGAUGCUAUUGCCGUCGCUCGUGCUCGGACAUAGGGUUCGUGGGAUUCCCAGUGGUAUAUGUGUGUGACCUCGUCGGAAUGGGGGUGCAGCAAAAAAAACUGAUUCCAAUCCACACCUCUUUUAGAUAAUAGCACAAAAGAUGGGAGAAGUUACAACAUAAGUACAUGAUGAAGGUUGAUUUGUUAUCUCAAAAUGUUAAUAUGGUUGGUCCAUAAAGAUGUAGCUACCCUUAAACAUAGGCUUAAAAACUGCAUUAAAUUUUUAUGCAGCGAUGACAGAUGAAUAGGGGGCACAUGGGAUACUAACCUGAUACUUCAGAAAAGAAUGGUCAACAGUUAGCAUUAGAGGAUGUCAAUUCUUGUUGCGCUUCAUUCAGAGAUAUGUGCCUUGCAUCAUGUCAUACAUAACCAGAGGUCCUUUUUCUGUCUAACCAAUCUUCCAUCGUGACAGAGAUAUGCUAAUGACAUUUUUCCGAUACCUGACUUUUAGACGUAAUGGAGGCACAAUUACAAUGUCUAUUCUUCAGAUAAAAACAAGAGGGCUUGAUGAUCCUUAUUGAAGAUCUGAAAACAACUAAAGAUAUUGUUUGUACAGAAAUCAACAAUUAUAUGUUCAAUUAGUUGUUGCUAGUAACCAGUUAGUGAAUCAAAUAACAACGAUUUGGAGCUUUAAUUAAAGGAAUUGGUUCAGUUAAAUCUUGAGUCGAUGGCUAGGUUGUUACCUGACGAAAACAUCAUGCUGCCCCUGCCACCGGCCCAACAACUUGAACCCUGUCCUUCUCUGCAUUAGGACAAGCCAUUACGCCAGUCAAAGAUCUAGCUUGUGAACUCUGCCACCAUGCGCCUGCUGUAUGGCGCCACCAUGCAUGUGAAUUUCAGCAAUUUUGUUUUGAGGUGAACACAUCACUCUUCUUAUUUGUAAUUCCUUUUUAUAAGUUGUAUAUAAGAGCAACCAUAAUGUGCUUUUCUAUUUAAAAAUUGAAAAAAAAGUCAUCUCUUAUAGGCAUAACAAAAGAAAAGUGGAGGGCACUGUGAACAUCAAAUUUGUAUAUUAGCACAUCUCAUGGGAAAUAUUUUGCUAAUUCAUGAAUUAAUACACAUGCAUUAGCCAUCACAUUAGCAAGUCUAUAGAUACAUGCCACUCUGUAGCUGAGAGAUUGAAAGCGAGAUCUGUUUUCGGUGGCCGAUGUGCAUCAAAUGAGGAACUUUUUGUGGCUGCUCUCCAUCGAAUAGCAAUUGAAUCUCAAUACCAAUUAGAGAAGGGAGAGGUCGCAAUGCUUAUUAGAGAAGGGAGAGGAACUUACAGUAGCUACUCUGCAUCAAAUAUGCCGAUGCAACACAUGUUAUUUCCUUACCUAGGGACUUGUCCCUUCGACCGGCGUCCAACGGCAGCAGUAGCACCACCGGGGCACCAAUCCAGCCGCGCAGGAUCCCGCCACCUCUUCCUUCCCUUCUUCAUCCCGGCUCUCUCUCUGGCCGCACGCAGGACAGCUGCUGCCGCCGUGCAGCUCGUCGCCCCCCCCACGCGGGAGACGGGACCUCCGCGUCGUUCCUCGCGCCCUCUCCUUCUCCCUGCCUCUCCUCCUUUAUAUCUUCCCUUACCUGUCUUUCUCACAGGUGCAGCGCCACCGUCGCCAUGAAGAGACCCCGCCGGAGAAUGUGUCGGCCAGCAUGGCGAACACCUCGAAGAUGAGCCCCGUGC
rnacentral:lncRNA from 1 species